rnacentral:rRNA from 1 species
CAGCUGAAAGGGGGAGAUCUUCGGCUCUUGCCCGAUUGAGUGACCCGAUGGCAUUUUAUCUAGUUGGGGGGGUAAAGGCCCCCCAGGGACAAUAUCCAUAUGUGGUCUGAGAAGAUGAUCACCCACUGUGGCUGUGACACGCGGCCCACACCCCUACGAGGGGCCACAGGGGAGAAUAUUGGACUGUGGGCGCAACUCUGAUCCACCUGUCCCGCGUGUGAAAAAAAGGUCUUCGGUGUGUAAAGCCCUUUUGUUGGAAAAAAGAUCCAACCGGCUAAUACCUGGUUGGGAUGACUACCCCCAAAAAAUAAACCCCGGCUAUCUUCGUGCCAGCACGCGCGGAUAUACAAAGGGUGCAAGCGUUACUCAAUUUUAGUGGGCGUAAAGCGUGCGUAGGUGGUUGUUUAAGUCUUGUGAGAAAGCCCUGCUCUCAACCUGAACUGUGCAGUGGAAACUGGACAACUAGAGUGUGGUAGAGGGUAGCGGAAUUCGUGUGUAGCAGAGAAAUGCGUAGAGAUCGAGGAGGAACAUCCAUGGAGACGCCCUAUGUGGACCACACUGACUCUGAGGCACAGAGCGUGAGAGCCACAUUAUAUAUACCC